UCACACAGUAGAACAUAUUGGAUUGAAUUUUAUAACACAAGAACCAAACCAUUCCAUGAAGGAUAAAAUUUCAAUUUCGCAACAUUUUUGUUAACUCUACUGCAAAGACUGGAAGUGGAAGCUCUUCAAAUUGUCAGGUUGAACAGUACAAUUUCACGUUUACAAAGCCUUCAUGGCAUGCAGCAGUCAGCUUUCCUAAUCACCUGGUCAGAUUGUUCUCCGAGGGCAGAGCCUAGGGACUCCGACAAGCUCUUUGGCACAUUUCCUUUUCACAUGAACUUUAAUCCAGUGGGUUGCCAUCUGGCAAGCAACCAACUCCUCUAAUUCUGCAGCCAUGACAGCAGCUUGAGCGAUACAAAUAGAAGGCAUCUGUGAACAAACAUAACUCUUAAUUCUCUUCAAUAUAAUCCGAAAGAGAACUAAAAAUUAUAACUUAAAUAGUUUUGUAAGGAAAACACAGAAACUGAACCUUUCACUUAACCUCAACCCUCAAUGCACUGACACACCCUUCCAAAAGACCAACUCAAAACAUUUUCCAUGGCCAUGUUUUAUAUUAAAAAAAAAAAAAAAUUUAAAAGAAGCUCUGCCUUCACUUCUUUACUAAACAACAUAAAUUUAUUUGGAUUGCACAUAUAACACCAAAGUGCGGUCAUUCCAGCUUGGUGAAACGAAGAAAAAUUUCUAUCGAUUAAAAGUGUUUCCAGGUGAUAGACCUCUAUUUUGAAACAAUGUUACAUUGAUAAAAAUUAUAUUCAUGUGUAAGGAAAAAGAAAAGAACACAUGCAAAAUGACUGGUUGCCUAGAAAUGUGCAUAGUUAAUAACUCAUGAAGCGUUUGCUAACUGUCAUCUGCGAAAACUGAUUUAAUCAUAACUAGAUAUACCUCUAUCAACUAUCAAGUGUGUUGA
rnacentral:lncRNA from 1 species